CUGGCUCAGGAUGAACGCUGGCGGCGUGCCUAACACAUGCAAGUCGAGCGAUUUACUUCGGUAAAGAGCGGCGGACGGGUGAGUAACGCGUGGGUAACCUGCCCUGUACACACGGAUAACAUACCGAAAGGUAUGCUAAUACGAGAUAAUAUGCUUUUAUCGCAUGGUAGAAGUAUCAAAGCUUUUGCGGUACAGGAUGGACCCGCGUCUGAUUAGCUAGUUGGUAAGGUAACGGCUUACCAAGGCGACGAUCAGUAGCCGACCUGAGAGGGUGAUCGGCCACAUUGGAACUGAGACACGGU
rnacentral:rRNA from 16 species